UGCCGGGAAAAACACAUUUCCUUCCCAAACUGAAAGACCCCCAGAGCAGGGAGACCCGCACUCAAGUCUCGGGAUGACUCGGCCCCCCAAGAACUCACACAAGACC
rnacentral:pre_miRNA from 14 species